rnacentral:rRNA from 1 species
AGUUUGAUCAUGGCUCAGAUUGAACGCUGGCGGCAUGCCUUACACAUGCAAGUCGAACGGCAGCGCGGGGCAACCUGGCGGCGAGUGGCGAACGGGUGAGUAAUAUAUCGGAACGUGCCCUGGAGUGGGGGAUAACGCAGCGAAAGUUGCGCUAAUACCGCAUACGAUCUAAGGAUGAAAGCGGGGGAUUCGCAAGAACCUCGUGCUCCUGGAGUGGCCGAUAUCUGAUUAGCUAGCUGGUGGGGUAAAGGCCUACCAAGGCAUCGAUCAGUAGCUGGUCUGAGAGGACGACCAGCCACACUGGAACUGAGACACGGUCCAGACUCCUACGGGAGGCAGCAGUGGGGAAUUUUGGACAAUGGGCGCAAGCCUGAUCCAGCAAUGCCGCGUGAGUGAAGAAGGCCUUCGGGUUGUAAAGCUCUUUUGUCAGGGAAGAAACGGUGCGGGCUAAUAUCCCGCACUAAUGACGGUACCUGAAGAAUAAGCACCGACUAACUACGUGCCAGCAGCCGCGGUAAUACGUAGGGUGCAAGCGUUAAUCGGAAUUACUGG